UUCCCAGACCUGGAGGUGGACUGAGAACCAGCCACAGCUUAGUGCACUUGCGGGGAACUGAUAACUGCACAUAACACAAUCACAACGGACAUGGAACCCGGUACCGCUGCCAAAGACCGAGCCAGACCUGACUAUUGCUAUGGAAAGCCCUCCAAGCUGUGCUUAAGUGACCCUGGCCGAGAUCCUCACCUCUCUAAUCUCAGUGACCUCUUCUGCAAAAUGAACUGCUGGGAGGAAUAAAUGAGACACUGCAUGAAACACGCUUGGCACACACAAAGGACCAAGGCAUCGGCCAGCAGCUGGACCCAGUUCUGCUGAGUGGUUCUUUCUCCUGGCCCUUCCUGGGCCCUCUGGUCCUGAUCCUACUCUGCUUCUUCAGGAACCACUUUGGACACUUCCUGGAAGAGAAGUUUCCUUCCAAUUGCUAAACAACACCAUGACAUCUGCAGGCCUCUCAGCCCAAAGGUUUGAUUUUCUGAGAAAUUCACUCUGGUGUCUUGGGAAGCUGACCGCACUGGUUGGCUGCUAUUUCUGGAAGCGUCAGCUAUGAUCAUCCCAAAGCUUUCAAAGUGAGCCACAUUCUUGACUCGUAAGUGCUUUAGGUCAUGAGUUCAAGGAGUGUCUGCCUCUUUCCACGGAGAAUCUCUAGUCAGUGUAAGGGGUACGGAACCCAUCUGCAAAUAAAAAGACAGAGACAAUUAAAAAAAUAAAAGAAAACUAAUUGAUGAUUCUUCUACCUACAAUGUGGCCCUACUGUAUUCACUAACAUCCUACAACACAACUAACAUUUUUAUAAGAAUUUGAGGGCAAGUUUUGUAACUAUAGGAACAAGGCAACUAAUAUAUUAAGAGAACGUAAGAAAAAUUUCACCGCUAGUAUUUACCAUAGUCAGUCAUGCUAUGGGUCUUAGUCACUGAAUGAGAAAGGUUCGUUUGUUUUUUUGAGGGAAUAUAUGCCAAUUAAGUGAAUAUAAAAUAGAAGAUGAUUUUUAAAUAAA